ensembl:lncRNA
CAUUUAUUCCCUUCCUGGCUUAUUCCCUUAUUGGAUUUGUUGUUUUCUUCUCAACAUAAUCUGCUAGGGAACUGGUAAAUCACUUUACAGGAGCACACGCUGCCAUUUUCAAUCUUGAGUGUAACCAUCUAAAGAAAAAAAAAGGGCAAGAAAGUCAAAUAUUCUUGUACUGUAUGUACUCCCGUAUAUUGUUCCUAAAUAUAAUUUCCGUUUCUAUCUGGCAGAAAGUAGGAAGGGACAGCAAUGAUUUCUCUUAAAAAUGACAAAAGCUUAACAAAUCCCGCAAAAUGAUUUAUGCUUCCAAAGGUCUAUUUGCCCAAAAUGCCCUGCGUGUUUCAGUAUGAGCAGAGGAGUUACAUGUCUUCCUGUUUGGACAUCAGACUGUUCCCAAGUGCCCUUUCAGAAAGAACAUACAGUUUGUUACUCAGACACUCAUUAAAUAAAAGUGAGGAUAUCCUUUUUUAUAACUGUGUGCAUAGACAUAGAAAAUGAUCCCUCGCGCAUAACUGCACAUGCAAAUUUCAAUAUUUUAUACGUGUGUAUUUGUAAAUAUGUGGAUCUUUACACUGGUAUGUAUCUAGAGAGAAAUAUGUAUAUAGAGAGAAAUAAUUAAUUAGACAGAUAAAACACUUCUACCUAUUCUGAUGGUAAAAAUACUAAAUAUCUUAAUGAAGUACAACUGUGUGGUAACCAAACUGGUUCAGAAGGUGCUUGGUGCCUUUAUGUAUGCACGACAGCAUUCUGCUAUGUCAUUCCGACAUCUCUAUUGGUCCAAAAUUAAUUCCCAUUUCAAAAGAAAAAAACAUUGCAAAAUGAGAGCAACUAGUUAAAGGCAAAGGAAAAGCACCUUGGCUUUUAGGUUCUACCAUUAUGAACAAAAGCAUGUAGCAUAGUUUAGUCUUGAUGUUAUGUUUAAAUCACUUAGAUGCCACAUAGGACGUGCUGAUGUAAUAGAUACAGAUAGAAGACUUACGGUGAAGAAAAUAAGCAAGUCACGACACAUUGGUGCAAUACAGAUAUGCAACAUAUAAGAAAAAGAAAUCAUGUUAUCAAGAAGAAUACAUGGAGGAGGCCUGGUGCUUUUCAUGAAAAAUAUAAAGGAAAGCAAUUGUCCAAACUUCUCUAUGUAAAAAGUUGGGAGCACAGUAGUUUUAUGGCCAAUGUUUCUCACAUGUCAAUAAUGUCAGGACAUUGAUUUUCUUCAUGAGACUGAUAAGAAAAGAAUUCACAGCAUUUUGUUCAAUCUUCAACUGAUUCACUCCAAGCAAAGUCUCAAUAAGCAAGAAUUUAACAUUCAACAACAGACCAACUCGCUCUUCUACCACAAACCAAAAAGUCCUUCCUUGGGCACAUGGUGCCAAACUUACCCAAAAAAGUUGUUUGUCCAUGACCUAAUCAGCAUGUGACUUAUUUGGUGUGGUGUGGCAUGUAACAUUCAAGGUCUGGCCUUCUCUGCCUUCAGAGCUGGUCAACUAAGGAGGCACAGCACAGAGUGAGGCCAUCACUUGUGCCUAUAUGACAUCCUCUUUGUUAUAUACAUGUAACUGAUAAAAAAUUGUCUUGGAAGUGAAAGUAUAGAUUAAAAACUGGAGCAAAGAAGUCUUAAAACGACAGAGUUAAUAGCAGAGCAGCAGCUAGCGUAGUUUACAAACUAUGUACCGUCUAAACAAAACUGGCACAAAGACUCUUCACUUAGUAAGCUUACGGAGAAAUACUGUGGGCGGUGCCUGAAAAAUUUGCUCAAACACCAGCUACAUAUGAACAAAACCAGCCCCAGCCUUGCCAGCAAUUCCUGAAAGCUGCAGAGAACCGUAGCUCCCAACUGAGUACCCAAACAGAGGUGUCACCCAUCCUGGAGAAGGAGCGUUCAAGGUAUUUCUGCCCACUGAACACUAAAUCUAAACCCCACAUUCAGAAAGUAGAGCUGCCAUCUAGAGGAACUUUGACAGGUUUGAGAAGCGAGGCCAUGCAAAAUUCAUAGACUUCAACAAGAAUAAGUGCAAGGAUCUGAAAAUCUGGGUCAGGGCAACCGCUGACAUGAAUAUAAGCUGGGCAAAGAGUGGACGGAGAGCAGCCUUGCAGAGAAGGACUUGGGGGUAUUUGUGGAUGAAAAGCUGAAUAUGAGCCAGCAAUGCGCCCUUGCAGUCCAGAAAGCAAACCAUAUCCUGGGCUGAAUCAAAGAAAGUGCAACUAGCAGGUUGAGAGAGAUGAUUUUCUCAUCUCUAGUCCCCUCUCAUGAGAGCAGCACCACCUGCAUUCAGCUCUGGAACUGCCAGUACAAGAAGGGUGUGGGCUUGUUGGAGAGGGUCCAAUGGAAGGCCACGAGGAUGAGCAGAGGGCUGAAGCACCUCUCCUAUGGAGAUGGGCUGAGAGAGCUGGGGUUGUUCAGCCUGUAGAAGAGAAGGCUCUGGGAAGACCUUCCAGAGACCUUCCAGUACCUAAAGGGGCCUAUAGGAAAGAUAGAGAGGGACACUUUACUUGGGAGUGUAGUGACAAGGCAAGGAGUAAUGGCAUUAAACUAAAAGAGGGGAAAUUUAGAUUAGAUCUUAGGAGGAAAUUCUUCAGUCAGAGAGUGGUGAGGCACAGGAACAAAUUACCUAGAGAAGCUGUGGAAGCCCCAUUCCUGGAGGUAUUCAAGGUUGGAUGGAGCUCUGGGCAAUGUGGUCUACCAGAAAGCGUCUCUGCCCUAGAGACUAGAUGAUCUUUGAGGUGUCUUCCAUCCCAAGCUAUUCUAUGUCUAGGCUCAUAGUAAAUACAUGCUUAAAUCUCUAUGAGGUCGAUCAUAUAUAGUCCACUGGGAUGGGACAAGCCCAAGCAGAGAAUAUCUUCACUGUUUACUGAAGAGUAGCUUUAAAACUCAGAUUUGAAUUGCUUGAAUUAUCAUUCUACUAGAUAUCUGUUUGAUUUUUAAAGCAAAGAAAAAAAAUCAAAACUAAAAUGACUUAUUUUUAUGAAUUCUGGUUAGACUCGAAGUUUAUAGACAACUUACUAAUUUGUUGGGCUCAAAUUCUGUUCUUUAGCAUUCUGACAAUGACGGUCCAUUUACUUUCCUUAGAUGACUCAGCUACAGUUAAAUCUCACUGCCUGAUUUAAUUCUGAAUUUUCAGAUUAAUUUUAUCUUUUCUUACCAACGUUUUGUCAUUUGAGUGCACUUUCUGAUCUUGCUUAUUAAGGAGAGAGUUUGAUUCAAGUUUUAAAUUACAACAGCAUUCUUCCCCAGGACUAUGUGCUGAUAAACAAUGCUAUGCAAGUUUUGUGACCUUUCUC